UCCAGCUCUCUCGCCCUCAGUCUGAGGGUCUGCAGGAGGACUUUGGUGACCCAGGACCAUCCCUCCAUCUGAAGAUCCUUAAUCACAUCUGCCAAGUGUCUUUUGUCCUGCAAGCUUCUAGAGACCACCUGCAUUCCGUGGCUUGUGGCCUCCGCCCCCCUCGAAGCCACAGGCGUGCCACCUCCUUAUCCCCCUCUGUCUCUGUCCCUCCGUGCCACUCUUUCCUUACUCUGGUCCUCCUGCCUCCUUCUGAGAAGGAUCCUUGUGAUGUCAAGGGCGCCCACUGGAUAAUUCAGGGCCAUCCCUCCAUCUGAAGAUCCUUCAUCACAUCUGCAAAGCGCCUUUUGCCCUGCAAGAGACUCACCCAUCAGAGAACUAAAUUCCGCACGGGGCUACAGAUUUGCAAAACGCUUUUCUUACGUGCCAGGCACUGAGCAACGGCUUAUAAAACAUUUUUCAACGACUCCAUCAACAAUGAAUAAGUAAGAACACAAACUUGUGAAAUCAGCAAGCGUGACCAUCCCCAUUGUGGAGACAGGACCCUGAGGCUCGGAGCGGAGAGGUCACUCGACAAGGGACUGAGUCUUGGUCUCCUGGGCGCAGGAACUGUGCCCUUCGGCUCCGGGACAGUCCAGGCACACAGUGGGCGGGGGCACAGUGGGCGAGGGCCUCGUCUGCUCACUUAGAGAAGAAAGGAAGGAAAUAGAAGGUCAACCAGCUGCUGUGGCAGGGACAGGGGCCUCACCUGAGCCUCCUGGUGGUUUCCCACAGCCUCACGUGACCCUCGGAACAUCUCUGUCUCUCUCUCUCUCUCACACACACACAC